GGGAAUAUGGUCUAGUGGUAUGACGUCGCUUCCGCAUACCUUAGGACCGCAAUGUUCGUGGUUCGGAAAAGCGAAGGUCCGGGGUUCGAUCCCCUGUGUUUCCA
rfam:Pseudozyma antarctica DNA, scaffold: scaffold_v10002, strain JCM 10317, whole genome shotgun sequence.